rnacentral:rRNA from 1 species
GAUGAACGCUGGCGGCGCGCCUAAUACGUGCAAGUCGAGCGAACAGACGAGGAGCUUGCUCCUCUGACGUUAGCGGCGGACGGGUGAGUAACACGUGGAUAACCUACCUAUAAGACUGGGAUAACUUCGGGAAACCGGAGCUAAUACCGGAUAAUAUAUUGAACCGCAUGGUUCAAUAGUGAAAGACGGUUUUGCUGUCACUUAUAGAUGGAUCCGCGCCGCAUUAGCUAGUUGGUAAGGUAACGGCUUACCAAGGCAACGAUGCGUAGCCGACCUGAGAGGGUGAUCGGCCACACUGGAACUGAGACACGGUCCAGACUCCUACGGGAGGCAGCAGUAGGGAAUCUUCCGCAAUGGGCGAAAGCCUGACGGAGCAACGCCGCGUGAGUGAUGAAGGUCUUCGGAUCGUAAAACUCUGUUAUUAGGGAAGAACAAAUGUGUAAGUAACUAUGCACGUCUUGACGGUACCUAAUCAGAAAGCCACGGCUAACUACGUG